GUAGGGAACUGAAAGGACGACCCUUCGGGAGCCUAUACAGGUGUUGCAUGGCUGUCGUCAGCUCGUGUCGUGAGAUGUUCGGUUAAGUCCGCUAACGAGCGCAACCCUCGUCGUAUGUUAUAUGUGUCAUACGAGACUGCCGGUAAAAGCCGGAGGAAGGUGAGGAUGAUGUCAAGUCAGCAUGACCUUUAUAUCCAGGGCUACACACACGCUACAAUGGUCUGUACAAUGGGUAGCCAAGCCGCGAGGCGGAGCCAAUCCUGAAAGCAGGCCUCAGUUCAGAUUGCAGUCUGCAACUCGACUGCAUGAAGCCGGAGUUGCUAGUAACCGCAGGUCAGCAAUACUGCGGUGAAUACGUUCCCGGGUCUU
rnacentral:rRNA from 1 species